rnacentral:rRNA from 1 species
CGGCGAACGGGUGCGUAACACGUGAGCGACCUGCCCAAUUGUGGGGGAUAGCCGGCCCAACGGCCGGGUAAUACCGCAUACGCUUCCCUGGGGGCAUUCUUGGGGAAGGAAACCUACGGGGCGAUUGGAGGGGCUCGCGGCCUAUCAGCUUGUUGGCGGGGUAACGGCCCACCAAGGCGAUGACGAGUAGCUGGUCUGAGAGGAUGGCCAGCCACAUUGGGACUGAGAUACGGCCCAGACUCCUACGGGAGGCAGCAGUGGGGAAUCUUGCGCAAUGGCCGAAAGGCUGACGCAGCGACGCCGCGUGGAGGAUGACGCCCUUCGGGGUGUAAACUCCUGUUGCCCGGGACGAAUGCCUGUUUUGACAGGAGUGACGGUACCGGGUGAGGAAGCACCGGCUAACUCUGUGCCAGCAGCCGCGGUAAUACAGAGGGUGCGAGCGUUGUCCGGAAUCACUGGGCGUAAAGGGCGCGUAGGUGGCUGGGUUAAGGCGGUUGUUGGUUGAAAAUUCCCGGGGCUCAAACCCCGGAUCGGCCAUGCGAACUGCCCGGCUGGAGCACGGUAGAGGCACAUGGAAUUCCGGGUGUAGCGGUGGAAUGCGUAGAGAUCCGGAAGAACACCGGUGGCGAAGGCGGUGUGCUGGGCCGUUGCUGACACUGAGGCGCGACAGCGUGGGGAGCAAACAGGAUUAGAUACCUGGUAGUCCACGCCGUAAACGAUGGGCACUAGGUCCUUGGGGGAGCGACCCCGUGAGGCCGGCGCUAACGCAUUAAGUGCCCCGCCUGGGGAGUACGCCGCAAGCUGAAACUCAAAGGAAUUGACUGGGGGCCCGCCAACAAGUCGGUGGAGCAUGUGGUUUAAUUCGACGCAACGCGAAGAACCUUACCUAGGCUUGACAUGGCCGAGAAAGCCAGGGGAAACCUUGGCCCCUCUUCGGAGUUCGGUCACAGGUGCUGCAUGGCUGUCGUCAGCUCGUGUCGUGAGAUGUUGGGUUAAGUCCCGCAACGAGCGCAACCCUUGUCACUAGUUACCAGCGGGUUAUGCCGGGCACUCUAGUGAGACUGCCGGUGCCAAACCGGAGGAAGGUGGGGACGACGUCAAGUCAUCAUGGUCCUUACGUCUAGGGCUACACACGUGCUACAAUGGGCGGGACAACGGGUUGCCAAGCCGCAAGGUGGAGCCAAUCCCACAAACCCGUCCUCAGUUCGGAUUGUCGUCUGCAACUCGACGGCAUGAAGCUGGAAUCGCUAGUAAUCGCGGAUCAGCUACGCCGCGGUGAAUACGUUCCCGGGCCUUGUACACACCGCCCGUCACGCCAUGGAAGCGGCGAGUGCCCGAAGUCCGUGCCGGAACCCGUAAGGA